GACAGAGGCCUCGAGCGUUAGGCGGAAUCACUGGGCUUAAAACGCGUGUAGGCGGAUCGUUAAGUGCCUUGUGAAAUCCUGCGGCUCAACCGCAGAACUGCUGGGCAUACUGGCGAUCUUGGGCCACUCAGGGGUCACUGGAACAAGCGGUGGAGCGGUGAAAUGCGUAGAUAUCGCUUGGAACGCCAAAGGUGAAGACAGGUGACUGGGGGUGUGCCGACGCUGAGACACGAAAGCGUGGGGAGCAAACAGG
rnacentral:rRNA from 1 species